UUUCGCCUGCCAUAUCAGUUCUGUUAUACUCACAGACAUAAUUUUAACAGUUUUAGAAACGUUAGAGUGUUUUCUAUCCAAAUCUACCAAUUAUAUGCAUACCCUAGCUUCUGGGCCUGAGUAACAGGCAGUUUACUUUGGGCACGCUUUUCAUCCGGAUGUGAAAAUACUGCCCCCUACCCAAGAGAGGUUAAUAAUGGCAGAGAUGAAAGGAAUUCAAAUGGAUUGUUCACAUUAAAUCAUUAUAUUAUGCUCAAUGGUAAUUAGUGAGUGAAUGUGAGUAUACUCUAUAUCCUUAGAGCAGUAGGUGGGCAUAUGCAUGGCCACCACUACACCUGCACCACUGGGUGCGAUUGAAGCUGGCGGUGUUGACAGUGACACUACACAUAUAGGCAGGCACAACACUGCUGCCCUUCCCUGCCUUGCAUGGUAUUGCUCUGUAUAUACUAGAGUAUAAUGAGAUAUUUCCCUAUGUUUUUCUAGAGAGGGACAGUGUGUGAUUAACUAAACUGAAUUUACCUUUGACUCUCUGUGUGUAGAAUCUUCAUUCUCCAUAGAGACGUUGGAUAUAGUCCCUCACAUCCAACACAUGUUCAGUAUAGAGGAAGAAUAUUCAUAGACAUGGAACUGUGAGGUAAGGAGGUGUGUGUCUUUGCGUGAGGUAAAGGGGGCAGAGUGUGUGUUUCCCGAUGUGCUCUGUUAGAGGGUAUGUAUCUGAAAGCACUAACCUGUGUGUGUGUGUGUGUGUGUGUGUGUGGACGUGUUUAACUAUACUAUAAUAUACUAUAAUAGUAAAUGAACAACUGGGGACUGGGGACUUUUUGUUAGUCCCCACAAGGUCGAAUGCUAUUUCUACAGGGUUUAGGGUUAAGGUUAGAAUGAAUGUUACGGUUAGGGUUAGGGUUAGGGUUAAGGUAACGGUAAGGGUUAGAGUUAGGGAAAAUAGGAUUUUGAAUGGGACUGAAUUAUGUGUCACCACAAGGUUAGUCGUACAAGACUUGGUUUCUACAUGAUUCCAUAUGUUAUUUCAUAGUUUUGAUGGAGGCAGACUGUGUUGUCUCUGUAGCUUCCUCUGAGGAAGAAUGUCCCGGAAAACAUGUCCCUUCAUCUACAUGAGAGAAUGCCGAGAGAAUGCCAAGAGUGUGCAAAGCUAUCAUCAACGAGGCAAAGUGGCUACUUUGAAGAAUCUCAUUUUUAGUUUUGUUUAACACUUUUUUUGGUUUCUACAUGAUUCCAUAUGUUAUUUCAUAGUUUUGAUGUCUUCACUAUUAUUCUACAAUGAAGAAAAUAGUAAAAAUAAAAACCCUAGAAUGAGUAGGUGUGUCAACUUUUGACUGGUGCUGUAUGUGAAUGUGUAAGUCAGGGUUGGGGUCAAUUCCAUUUAAAUUCGUGGUGGACAACAGGUUUACUGUUGCCUCGUUUAAUCUCGUUCCCAGACACUACCGCCCAAAUGCACGACGAGUCUGGUGGGCCAACACAUCAAACUUGGCCUUCGUUAGCCAAUAUAUUCUCCCACCGCGUAUUCAUCGGGUUAAUCGCCUUUAUCUACAAAGUACUCAUCUCCCACAACACCUUCCCCGUACACUAGCACACCACAAGCACAGAGCCACACCUAGCAGUUGUAGGAUUCGCUAAAGUGGUGAUGACAAAUACUUUACUCAGUAGGUCACAUGGAAUUCUAUGGUCACUCCAUGUAAGGUCACCUUAGAAUGGUUAGUAUCCCAGGUUUAUAUGCGCAGUGCGCAACUGCCUGGGUAUGAGGUUAUGUCUGAUUUGACCGUGUAUUAACCAUGUUGCGUGGUUAAUGUGUGGCCAGAGGGAGCUGGAGUGCAGACAGCAGACAGAAGACGGUGGAUGUGUUUGGGGUGGAGAAGACUGUGGACUCAGUGGAGGACAUCCCAGCCACUUUACAGUAUUGGCACUGCUACUGGUCUUUUUUUCUUUCUUUUUUUACAUCAGCAGUUGGCACGAAGUCCUACACCAGAGAAACCCAGGACAUACAGGACACUGCUCCUGUCAUCUUUCUCCCUGUGUGAUGUCAUAUCCUGUUCAUGUUUAGGCACCUGGCCAGCCUAGUGCAGGUGGGCUCUCCCAUCAACAUGAGGCGCCUGCUGCUCGCGCCCCAAAUGUACACAGGAGGAGUUGAAGGCGGAGAAUUCCUCGUACCUGUGGCAGCACCCGGUGCUUCGCGCCACGAUGGCCGACUUCUUGCCGUUCCUUUUACUACGAAAACCAAGCAACGUCUUCAUGUUUGCCCGCGAGUACUUCUCCCCCUUCGUUUCCCACCGACCCCCGGGGGGCACCUUCAACACCUCACCUUGAGGACACACACUGUGGCUGCGUCUUAAUAGGCUAGUAGCUUCCUUUCACAGGCACUUUAGUGAGGACAAUACUCUUCAGGUUAGCACUAGUAUGUACAGAGGCCUUCCACAUCAUCAAAUAUGAAUCCUUUUAUGGAUGUUUUGUAUUUUAUAAUACUGUUUUUGUUUGUAUGAGCUGCACUGAAACAAAUUCCAAUCAACUCUAUGGCAAUCACGAGUUACAACUGUCAGUUGGUGUGAAUAAAAUAAAAUGUAUUAUUUCAUGUGUUGUAUAUUUCCCAGGCUUUAUUUCUGUUAUGAACUUCAGUAACUGCUACUUUGCUUUGACUCUGUGAUCACACCAUACAUUUUUAAGAAUAAAGUUAUAAAUGAAAGUAA